rnacentral:rRNA from 1 species
CCUACGGGGUGCAGCAGUGAGGAAUAUUGGUCAAUGGACGAGAGUCUGAACCAGCCAAGUAGCGUGAAGGAUGACUGCCCUAUGGGUUGUAAACUUCUUUUAUAUGGGAAUAAAAUGUUCCACGUGUGGGCUUUUGUAUGUAACAUAUGAAUAAGGAUCGGCUAACUCCGUGCCAGCAGCCGCGGUAAUACGGAGGAUCCGAGCGUUAUCCGGAUUUAUUGGGUUUAAAGGGAGCGUAGGUGGAUUGUUAAGUCAGUUGUGAAAGUUUGCGGCUCAACCGUAAAAUUGCAGUUGAAACUGGCAGUCUUGAGUACAGUAGAGGUGGGCGGAAUUCGUGGUGUAGCGGUGAAAUGCUUAGAUAUCACGAAGAACUCCGAUUGCGAAGGCAGCUCACUGGACUGCAACUGACACUGAGGCUCGAAAGUGUGGGUAUCAAACAGGAUUAGAUACCCGUGUAGUC